rfam:Gossypium raimondii Chr06_contig_9, whole genome shotgun sequence.
UGUUAAAAAUUUUAUUCAUUUUUAUUGUUAAAAACUAUCAUGAUUAACAGAAUAAUCAGACAAUUAAAAGUGGUGUCUCACAUGUACCACAUUUUAACAUAUAAAAACCGAUUUUUAAAAGUAUAAAUUGAUAUAAUAUUUAACA